rnacentral:rRNA from 1 species
AACGAACGCUGGCGGCAUGCCUAACACAUGCAAGUCGAACGAGACCUUCGGGUCUAGUGGCGCACGGGUGCGUAACGCGUGGGAACUUGCCCUUAGGUUCGGAAUAACUCCCCGUAAGGGGUGCUAAUACCGGAUAAUGUCUUUGGACCAAAGAUUUCUCGCUUUUGGAUGGGCCCGCGUUGGAUUAGCCAGUUGGUAGGGUAAAAGCCUACCAAGGCGACGAUCCAUAGCUGGUCUGAGAGGAGGAUCAGGCCCACUGGGACUGAGACACGGCCCAGACUCCUACGGAAGGCAGCAGUGGGGAAUAUUGGACAAUGGGCGAAAACCUGGUCCAGCAAUGCCGCGUGAGUGAUGAAGGCCUUAGGGUUGUAAAGCUCUUUUACCCGGGAUGAUAAUGACAGUACCGGGAGAAUAAGCACCGGCUAACUCCGUG